rnacentral:rRNA from 1 species
AUUGAACGCUGGCGGCAUGCUUUACACAUGCAAGUCGAACGGUAACAGGUUAAGCUGACGAGUGGCGAACGGGUGAGUAAUGCGUCGGACCGUGCCCGAUCGUGGGGGAUACCGCAGCGAAAGCUGCGCUAAUACCGCAUACGAUCUGAGGAUGAAAGCGGGGGACCGUAAGCCCUCGCGCGAUCGGAGCGGCCGAUGUCAGAUUAGGUAGUUGGUGGGGUAAAGGCUCACCAAGCCAACGAUCUGUAGCUGGUCUGAGAGGACGACCAGCCACACUGGGACUGAGACACGGCCCAGACUCCUACGGGAGGCAGCAGUGGGGAAUUUUGGACAAUGGGCGAAAGCCUGAUCCAGCAAUGCCGCGUGCAGGAAGAAGGCCUUCGGGUUGUAAACUGCUUUUGUACGGAGCGAAAAGGCUCUCUCUAAUACAGGGGGCUCAUGACGGUACCGUAAGAAUAAGCACCGGCUAACUACGUGCCAGCCGCCGCCGUAAUAC